rnacentral:rRNA from 1 species
ACGUAGGGCGCAAGCGUUGUCCGGAUUUAUUGGGCGUAAAGAGUUCGUAGGCGGUCUGUCGCGUCGGAAGUGAAAUCCCGGAGCUCAACUCCGGGCCUGCUUUCGAUACGGGCAGACUUGAGUGUUGCAGGGGAGACUGGAAUUCCUGGUGUAGCGGUGGAAUGCGCAGAUAUCAGGAAGAACACCGGUGGCGAAGGCGGGUCUCUGGGCAACAACUGACGCUGAGGAACGAAAGCGUGGGGAGCAAACAGG